GCAGGAGUCGUGCAGAUGUCUGUACUUACAAAUGUCAUUUGUUCACUGUUCAUACAGCCAAGGGCAUAUAUAAGUCAUGGGGAGUUCGCCAUACCCUUGACAUGUGGCACGGAUCGAAAAACCUUGGAAAGAAGAUCCACCAGGCGAGCCAGCAGAAGGGGUGCUCCAUUUUACUCAUUUGGAGCAAGGAUGUGUGCAACCACUUUUGGUUUUGUGCCAAAAUGUCGGCAACCUAUGACGACUUCUUUGACAUGUGGG